UGGGGAAUUUUGGACAAUGGGCGAAAGCCUGAUCCAGCAAUGCCGCGUGUGUGAAGAAGGCCUUCGGGUUGUAAAGCACUUUUGUCCGGAAAGAAAUCCUUGGCUCUAAUACAGUCGGGGGAUGACGGUACCGGAAGAAUAAGCACCGGCUAACUACGUGCCAGCAGCCGCGGUAAUACGUAGGGUGCAAGCGUUAAUCGGAAUUACUGGGCGUAAAGCGUGCGCAGGCGGUUUGCUAAGACCGAUGUGAAAUCCCCGGGCUCAACCUGGGAACUGCAUUGGUGACUGGCAGGCUAGAGUAUGGCAGAGGGGGGUAGAAUUCCACGUGUAGCAGUGAAAUGCGUAGAGAUGUGGAGGAAUACCGAUGGCGAAGGCAGCCCCCUGGGCCAAUACUGACGCUCAUGCACGAAAGCGUGGGGAGCAAACAGGAUUAGAUACCCUGGUAGUCCACGCCCUAAACGAUGUCAACUAGUUGUUGGGGAUUCAUUUCCUUAGUAACGUAGCUAACGCGUGAAGUUGACCGCCUGGGGAGUACGGUCGCAAGAUUAAAACUCAAAUUGAAUUGACGGGGUCAUAGCUGUUUCCU
rnacentral:rRNA from 1 species